rnacentral:misc_RNA from 1 species
CCUUUGAACGCACAUUGCGCCUCCCGGCAUUCCGGGAGGCAUGCCUGUUCGAGCGUCAUCAAAACCACUCAAGCUUGUGUUUAUUCAUGACUUGGUAUUGGAACUGGAGUGGACAUGAGCCAUUCCUAUCCGAAUUCCAGUGGCAAAGUUGUCGUCACCUAUAAGCGUAGUAAUCAACAUUAUGUUUCGCUUUGGAGCAGACAAUCUUCCGCCGUUAACCACCCCCAUCCAAAAUUUAAGUGUUUGACCUCGGAUCAGGUAGGGAUACCCGCUGAACUUAA